UGUGCAGUGAGGAGCAGACACAUUAUAUUAAAAACCAUGAAGCAAUAAACAUAUAGCAGUUAAAAGUUCCUUCUAUUUAAGAUCCUGAUGAACUAGGGCAUCUCUUUAAGUAGAGAAAUUCUGAUUCUGAAACCCUAACUCAUUUUGUCUUCAUUUAUCUUCAAUUACUUCAGCCUGAUCUACUUUGGCCAUGAAGAUCAGCUGCCUUCUUUUAGCUCUUUCCUUCAUUGUCUUGAUACCUUUCUCAGCCUCUCUAAAACUCACUUCCUAUGUGGUUUGCAAACCUUUUCCUAAAAAUUGCACUGCUGGUAAUGGAACAAGCUGUAUUGGUGGAGAAAAGACCUGCAUCUUACAUCUUAGAAACUGCUGUAAGACCAAGAAAUAAAAGGCCAGCUCUUGGGAAAUGAAAAAAUUCAGAAGGGCUGGAGAAGAGAUCAUCAACUGUUUUGUCUUAUUCAGAGUAAAAGCAUUGUUUUCCUCUUCUAAA